rnacentral:lncRNA from 1 species
CUCUGUGUAUAAUGCUCUAAACCAAAGGAAGUAUUAAUGAUUAUUGAGGAAAAUGAAGUGUUUAUUGAAAGAAUGAAGGAAGUACUUCAAGGAGGAAACAAAGAAGAAAACAGAUACAAAGAGGCAAAGGGAAGGUUUCACCUGAGUCAUAGAUGACCCAGGGAACAAGGGAGAAAAGGACUGCUGAACAUCUGGUGGUCUAGAAUAGCUAUGAGGCUCUUCCUGUAGAGGGCAGACCUGGACCAUUUCUGGAGGCAGAAGCUUCUUUAAUUUCAAGGAAAAAUGAUGUGGCUCCAUAGAAGGGUCUUCUAACAAGCAUCAGGGGAAAAGGAAUGGUGGUGAUUCUCUAUUAAAGAGACUUUUUCAUGUGGGGAACCAUGCCAGAAGAUUCAAGACAAGCACCAGCGAUUUGAUAGCCACCAAAGAUCAGGAAAAUUUGAUGACUAAUAACCAUUUGUGGUCAUUCUCAGAGGAACAAAUUUUAUCACCUGAACAAAUCUAGAAAGCCCAUCUAUGGACUUGUAAGACUUACAUCAAAUACCAAACACCUUGGCAGGAGUUGGGGCAAGAAGGGGCACAAGAGAAAUUUUCAACAAUACCACCAAUUAAAGGUAAGGCAUUCAAAGCAGAGAAGCAAAUUUAGGAAGCAAACAGCUUCCCGACAUGAUGAUGUCUGAGACUGGGAUGGAGAUGACUAUGACUUAAAAUAUAGGAAUGGUACCUUCUUGACCCGUGAUAGAGCAUACCUAACAAGAUCCAGAAAAAACAUCUUUACUUGGAGGCUAGGAAAUCUAAUCAAAAGAGUUUAACACUAAAAAGAGGAGGCAAAAAAUUAUCCACAUAAAUUUGGGAAUGCUGGGAGCAUAGGAAUUAGCAGACACAAUCUAGGAGGAAGAAUAUCAGAAGAAAGAACCAAUAAUUCAUGGGAGAUAAUAUGCAGGAAGAGAGACAGAAGUAAAAUUUAUGUCCUUAAAAGUCUAUAUGUAUGUGUACAAAAUGUGAUAAUGUAAUUAAGGAAGAUUGAUUAAAGAGUCCAAUUCAAGGCAGCUAGGUGGAAUAGUGGAGAGACCACCAGACUUGAAAUCAGGAAGACUCAUCCAGAUGAGUCAGAAUCCCACUUCAGACAUUUACUAACCAUGUGACCCUAGGUAAGUCA